UACGUAGGGGGCAAGCGUUGUCCGGAUUGACUGGGCGUAAAGCGCACGCAGGCGGCCGUGCACGUGGGGUGUGAAAGCCUGGCGGCUUAACUGCCAGACGCCACCUCAUACGGCACGGCUCGAGCCCGUGAGAGGUCCACGGAAUUGCCGGUGUAGUGGUGAAAUGCGUAGAGAUCGGCAGGAACACCCAGGGGGAAACCAGUGGACUGGCACGGUGCUGACGCUCAGGUGCGAAAGCGUGGGGAGCGAACCGG
rnacentral:rRNA from 1 species